rnacentral:sRNA from 1 species
AAUUAUAUUUUGGAUAUUUUUGGUUACCUAAAAUAUUUAGGUUUGUAUCCAUUCGGUUUCUGUUAUCUACAUAUACAUUUUUGCAGCCAUUUUAGCAAAUAAAUCCUGGAUUUGGACUCUAACAUAAGUAACUACAUUCUUCAAGU